CAAGCUGCACUUCUAAACGCAAGCCGGGUCUGGCUGUGUUGACUUGAAAAUUACCCAAGAUCACUCUUACAACCAAGAUGGUUGACUCGUGACAGAGGCUCGACUCUCGAGGACAAAUAAAUAAACAAAUUCGAUCGUGCCAUUAUGUAGCUACACAUUUUGUGUAAGCCACACGAAAAUGCAACGUCAUCUUACGUCAAAGAUAUCCACGAUGGUUUCUCUAGUCUCUUACUGUGUCACGCUACUUGACGAAUCACGCGAUCGUCACAGCGUUUUGAAACCUAUCAGAAACAAAAUUUCACAAAAAACUGCCAGAAGAAGAGAACGUGAUCUGUGAUUUCUGUGUGUAUUCGAAAUAGUCUCCAUACAAGUGUUCAGAUUUUACGGAAACUAUCGAUAGUGUGGAGCCAAAGCAAACGACUGAAAAAACCUUUAUCUCACUUGAUUUUCCUUCUAAUCCGAUGAUUGCUGAUAUAUUGAUGUCUUACUGAGCUCAGAAUACACAUGUUUUAUGUGGCUUAUGCUUCCAUGAGCACGAGGCAAUGGCGGGUGGGCAUGUGAGUGAGAGCUUCAAGUCAGCCCUUGGAGAGUGUAACCCUAACAGUUGCUCCGUUACCAUCACAUCCCUUGGUCCAAUGGUGAAGCAUGUGUAUAAGUGCUUGAGUUGUGGAGGACUUCGGCACGGCUCCAUACUGGCAAGGAGUGAGAACUUUAAGUACGGAGGAUUUCACGUAGUCAGCUACGACACACU